GACGAACGCUGGCGGCGUGCUUAACACAUGCAAGUCGAACGGAAGGGCCCUGCUUUUGUGGGGUGCUCGAGUGGCGAACGGGUGAGUAACACGUGAGUAACCUGCCCUUGACUUUGGGAUAACUUCAGGAAACUGGGGCUAAUACCGGAUAGGAGCUCCUGCUGCAUGGUGGGGGUUGGAAAGUUUCGGCGGUUGGGGAUGGACUCGCGGCUUAUCAGCUUGUUGGUGGGGUAGUGGCUUACCAAGGCUUUGUCGGGUAGCCGGCCUGAGAGGGUGACCGGCCACAUUGGGACUGAGAUACGGCCCAGACUCCUACGGGAGGCAGCAGUGGGGAAUAUUGCACAAUGGGCGGAAGCCUGAUGCAGCAACGCCGCGUGCGGGAUGACGGCCUUCGGGUUGUAAACCGCUUUCGCCUGUGACGAAGCGUGAGUGACGGUAAUGGGUAAAGAAGCACCGGCUAACUACGUG
rnacentral:rRNA from 1 species